GCACACCAGAAGCCCCCCGCACAUACCCUAUUUGAAGCUAGGUCAAGUUACGCAAAAUAGGAUCAUCUAUUAUUUUACCACUACUGUCACCAUCUGUGGGUAAGAAUGCUAGGGAUCUUAAGAAUUCGAAUAAACCAGAGGCUCAUACAAAGCAUUAGAAACCCAAAAAUAGCAACCCCAACUAACAAUGGUGGCCAAAAUGUGAGCUCCAAACAAACCAGUAAAGCGCCAAGCCAUGGAGGUACUGAGAAACAAAACUGAGGAGGAGGUGAUGUAAAGCUCUUAGUUUCUAUAAACCUUCAAGAGUCGGCCACUGCUAGGUGAGUAAAGACUCUGGAGACUUUGCCGGCCAAAGAAAUAGAGAACCCUCUCAAGUCCAAUACUCAGGAAACCACAAUCACAGACAGAGGAGCUGAAAGAUAGAUGACAUCGAUAGAUCUUUCACCUUUGAAGCUUCUAGCUCGCAUGCAACACCCUAAACAUACAGUAAAACCAACUCUAUAGGUGAUUGAAAUGAAGCACUCAACAAUUGGUACUAGCCCCACCACCAACAAAAAAAAAGUGCAAAACUUUAUUUACGCACACAAUCCCACCCGAAAGGAGAGGAGGGCAGACCAACU
rnacentral:misc_RNA from 1 species